rnacentral:rRNA from 1 species
CUACGGGGGGCACCAGUGGGGAAUAUUGCGCAAUGGGCGAAAGCCUGACGCAGCAACGCCGCGUGAGUGAUGAAGGCCUUCGGGUCGUAAAGCUCUGUCGGGAGGGAAGAACACCUUCGGGUCUGACGGUACCUCCCGAGGAAGCACAGGCUAACUCCGUGCCAGCAGCCGCGGUAAUACGGAGUGUGCAAGCGUUGUUCGGAAUUACUGGGCGUAAAGCGCGCGUAGGCGGCUUGAUAAGUCAGAUGUGAAAUCCCUCGGCUUAACCGAGGAACUGCAUUUGAAACUGUCAGGCUUGAGUACGGGAGGGGGAAGCGGAAUUCCCAGUGUAGAGGUGAAAUUCGUAGAUAUUGGGAGGAACACCAGCGACGAAGGCGGCUUCCUGGACCGAUACUGACGCUGAGGCGCGAAAGCGUGGGGAGCAAACAGGAUUAGAUACCCGAGUAGUC